CGAAGUCAUAUGAAGCAUAACCUUUGCCGGCUGCAGAAGUCGCACCUGGUUUUUCUGGGCUGGAGGAGGCCCGCCUCCCCACGUCCUUCAAAGCCGCAGGCCUGGCUGCUGCAAGGGCCCAGGGAUCUUCCUCUUGCACCACAAAUGCCAUCGCUCCCAUCGCUAAAGGGAGCGAACUGAAGUGGGCCACCAGGGCAAGAGGUGAAUGGGGCUCAGGGUAGUGGAUUUGGGGAAGAGAAGGAAAGUUGAAUGGCAAGAGUCAGACACCUACGUAAAGACUUGGAAAGCUGCCAGCGCUGUGUCAGGUGGGGGACGCAAUGAGAACGCUGGUGUCUCACAGGGAAUACAAAUGCUUUCAGUAUGCAUUCUACUUAUUCCUCAACAUGACCUCUUGGAGUCACUGCCAAGUCAGGAGGAGCAAGAGGUUCUAGGAUCCUUGUCGCCUCGUGCAUUCUUUUAUUUACUCGACGAACACUGGUGAGGACAUAGGAAUUCGACAGUGGUGUCCCCCCAGCCUGGAUGUGAUGUGGCCCUGUCUCCCCAUGGCUAAUAUGGCUAUUUCACAAGACUUCCUUAAGCAGAGUACUCUAUUGGGCUGUAGAGCGCUCGCGAUACGAAAGGUCACCUCAUUCUGAAACUAACCCAUCCGUUGAUGAGGAAGGUUAUGCCAUAAUUACGUAAAGUUGGAGGAGCAGCUGCAAAUGACACAGACCCCAGCCACAAGCUCUCACCCGAAUACCAUUGGUCAGGCCAUCGGUGAACAUUACAGAGCACCUACCAUUUGCCAGAUGUGUGCUAAGCAUGAGGGGGAGUAGUGGCCGAAAGAAGCAGGAACUCUGCCUUGAUGGUAAAUUGGACUUCACCAAUAGAGCAAAUGUAGACGUUCUACAUUCCACAUAAUUCAUAAUUAUUUUAAGCGAUUGAGUAGACAAUUUAAAGUAAAAAGAUGCUCCAAGCCACAAACACUAGGGGCUGUGAGAAGUCCAGAUAAAGGGACCUAACACUUUUUUGUAACAGGGGUGGGCAGGAAAGGCUACGUUGAGUUUCUUAAGCUCCCCUGGUCUGAGAAUCUCUGCGAAAUGAGGUUGUGGGACUCAAGCAAUAUCUCCCACAGAAUGUGGUCACCUGAGUUCUACAAAGUUGAGCUGGCUUCUUUACUGAGGGCCUUGUUGGUCUUUAGUGUGCAAAUACGCAUUAUGAAUCUCAAAGGGACUCUCUAGACUGAAGAAGUUCCCAAGCUCUUUGGGGAACGUUUUUGUGCAGAAUAUUUAUAGCAACUGGCGUUCUAAGGAAGACCAUUUAGAAAGUAUUUGAGUAGGUGUCUCAGGCCUCUGCCAGCUUUAAAAUUCAAUUAUUAUGUCUUCGAGCAUGUCAUAGGGAAAAAACAGCAGCAACAAAAAAGGAAUCCAACAUUAAUGUGUAGCAAAGACCGGAUGGGUGGGCUCUGGGAGAUGGAAAUUGUGGCAGAAAAUCUAUGGAGGACUUCCUGACAGCCUAAACUCAGAUGGAAGGGAUAAUCGAGGCUUGGAUAUUCUUUAAAUAUAAAGUAU